UUUGGGAAGCAGUAUUGCUGUGUAGCUUCAAAUGUCCUUAAAUUUAUCAUACUACUUCCUCAAGCUCUGGAAUCAUGAGAUUAUAGAUAUAUGACACCAUACCUGACAAAGAGGGCUAAGAGAGAUGGCUUAGUAAUUAAGAACAUGGUCUUGUUCUUCAGGAGGAUUCAGGUUCAAAUCCCAGCACACACAUGGAUGCUUACAACUGUAGUUCCAAGGGAUCUGACAUACAGACAUGCAUGCAGGCAAAACAUCAGAGCACAUAACAUAAAAAUUUUUUAAAAAUGGUAUUUAAACAAAACAAGUGGGAUUGUACUAAACAUUCUCUUGUAAUACUGUCUCUAUUCACAUGUGCACCUUGAGUUCACUCUUUAGCCCAGAAUGGUCUUGUGGUCUUCUUGCCUUAGUCUCCCAGUGCAUGCAUGACUGCGUGCUUGACUGUAGUUUUGUUGUUGUUGUUUAUUUCAUUUCUUGCCUUUCCCCCCCUUUACUUUUACUUUAAAAUUUUUUGUCUUCUCUGGUCUAUGUAGUAAAAUCCAUGCCUAGCGAUGGCUUUUUAGGGACCCCGUCAUUCAUAUAUUUAAAAUAUUUUGUGUGGGUCACACAUGCAAAUCAGAGAAUAACUUUGGGCAAUGUUCUUGCCUUCCACCUUGUUUCUUGUUUUUUUUCUGCUGAGCUACAUAAACCAGUUUCUGGGUGAUUCUCUUUUUCUACUUCCUAUCUUUCACUAUAGGAGUCCUGGAUUAACGGGAUACUUUUAUGGGCUCUGAGAAUUAUCAGACUGGUCAGGUGUAUGUAGUAAGUGCUUGUACUCACUGAGUAAUCUCCUUGAUCUUCUUUUCUUAUUGAGAUGGGUUAUAUGUGUAACCCCGACUGGCUUGGAAUUUGUUAGGUAGACCACUCUGGUGUCUUGGUAUGAGUCUGUGCUGGAAUUACAGGCCUGUGGUACUAUGCCUUGCUAAUUCCUGAAUUUGUUAUUUUCCCUUUCUUUAAAAUGUUGAUUGUUAUGAUGAAUCCACAAAGAAAACUGUUAGUUGGAGCCAUGCUAGGUAACUAACUUAGUCAUGUAGAACUUGGCCUGAUCUCUGAUGUCAACACUCAAUGUGAAAAGGUGGUUCAAGUGUUGACUUUGCCACGAAGAGACGAGGUGAUGGAGUUACAUAUUCUAGGGAGGUUUGGGACAAGUACUGUGAGUGGAUAAGAGUCUCCUGUCAGUAGUGCUUUCAUCUCAAUCACAUGUAAGGGAAAUUCACAAAAAUGUUAAUCAGCUGUAUGCCCAGGAGGAAAAAAAGCCAGUUGGACUGUCAGUGUAAUCUGUGCAAUGCCCAAGAGAGUUCACAAGUUCCUUGGCCUUUGAGAGCCUGUUCUGUCUGUAGUCUAGAUGAAGACAAUGAGAACUUAGGUGAAGCAGCACUUUAGAAAAACUGUGUAAGCAUCUUCACGUUUAGUUGUUAUGAAAUCUUUUGAAUGGAGGUUGUUACUCCUGUUUUCCUUUUCAACAAAGAGUUCCAGAGAGUUGUAGAGCCAGAAUUUGAACGAGGCAGUCUUCUCAUAGGACUUGUGUUUUAAUGUACUGGAGGCUCUGCACUAACACAGUUCCGCUAAGCUCUGUCUGAGUUCUUUAUUCUGCUGAUACUUUUCAGCAAAGGUCUUUUUGCUGCAAUAAUUUCUUUCAUGAGACUUUCCACUGGUGAUUCCUUUAUCCUUGUUAAAAAUUAUCCACCUUCCUUCCUAAGGAUAUCCUUUUCCCUUUACUCUUAGAAACUCUUCUAUCUUAAAAAAAUGGUUGGUUAUAUGUAAGUAUGUAGAGAAUAAUGUAACGAAUCCCCUAUCCUGUCAUCACUUAACCUAAAACAACAACACACACCAGCUUUAGUUCAUUUAUUAUUACUUUUGAUAAAAUAUAUUAUUGAAAAAUAGUUUUUUUUUUCUAAAGAAAGUAAAUGAUGUAUUGCAUAGAGAUUUUCAUAUGUACUAGAAAGUACAGUGACCGGGCAUGGGGGCAUGUCCCUUUAUUCCCAGCACUGCAGAGGUAGGUGACUGUGAAUUCAAGGCCAACCUGGUCUGCGAAAUGAAAUUCAGAACAUCCAGGGAAACCCUAUACUGUGUUGGGGAAACAAACAAACAAACAAACC
rnacentral:lncRNA from 1 species